AUUGAACGCUGGCGGCAUGCCUUACACAUGCAAGUCGAACGGUAACGCGGGGCAACCUGGCGACGAGUGGCGAACGGGUGCGUAAUGUAUCGGAACGUGCCCAGUUGUGGAGGAUAAAUGCUCGAAAGAGCAGCUAAUACCGCACACGACCUGAGGGUGAAAGCGGGGGAUCGCAAGACCUCGCGCAAUUGGAGCGGCCGAUAUCAGAUUAGGUAGUUGGUGGGGUAAAGGCGCACCAAGCCAACGAUCUGUAGCUGGUCUGAGAGGACGACCAGCCACACUGGGACUGAGACACGGCCCAGACGCCUACGGGAGGCAGCAGUGGGGAAUUUUGGACAAUGGACGCAAGUCUGAUCCAGCCAUGCCGCGUGCGGGAAGAAGGCCUUCGGGUUGUAAACCGCUUUUGUCAGGGAAGAAACGCUCUGGGUUAAUACCUCGGGAUAAUGACGGUACCUGAAGAAUAAGCACCGGCUAACUACGUGCCAGCAGCCGCAGUAAGAC
rnacentral:rRNA from 1 species